GAUGAACGCUGGCGGCGUGCCUAAUACAUGCAAGUCGAGCGAACAGACGAGGUGCUUGCUCCUCUGACGUUAGCGGCGGACGGGUGAGUAACACGUGGAUAACCUACCUAUAAGACUGGGAUAACUUCGGGAAACCGGAGCUAAUACCGGAUAAUAUAUUGAACCGCAUGGUUCAAUAGUGAAAGACGGUUUUGCUUUCACUUAUAGAUGGCUCCGCGCCUCAUUAGCUAGUUGGUAAGGUAACGGCUUACCAAGGCAACGAUGCGUACCCGACCUGAGAGGGUGACCGGCCACACUGGAACUGAGACACGGUCAAGACUCCUAGGGGAGGAAGCAGUAGGGAAUCUUCCGCAAUGGGCGAAAGCUGGACGGACAAACGCGGCGGGAGGGAUGAAGGUCUUCGGAUCUUAAACUUCUGUUAUUAGGGAAGAAGAAAUGUGUAAGUAACUAUGCACGUCUUGACGGUACCUAAUCAGAAAGCCACGGCUAACUACGUG
rnacentral:rRNA from 1 species